rnacentral:rRNA from 1 species
CCUACGGGAGGCAGCAGUGAGGAAUAUUGGUCAAUGGUCGGGAGACUGAACCAGCCAAGCCGCGUGAGGGAUGAAGGUACAGAGUAUCGUAAACCUCUUUUGUCAGGGAACAAAGGCGGGGACGCGUCCCCGGAUGAGUGUACCUGAAGAAAAAGCAUCGGCUAACUCCGUGCCAGCAGCCGCGGUAAUACGGAGGAUGCGAGCGUUAUCCGGAUUUAUUGGGUUUAAAGGGUGCGCAGGCGGUCUGUUAAGUCAGCGGUAAAAGCCCGGGGCGCAACCCCUGCCCGCCGUUGAAACUGGCAGUCUCGAGUGGGAGAGAAGUAUGCGGAAUGCGCGGUGUAGCGGUGAAAUGCAUAGAUAUCGCGCAGAACUCCGAUUGCGAAGGCAGCAUGCCGGCUCCACACUGACGCUGAGGCACGAAAGCGUGGGUAUCGAACAGGAUUAGAUACCCCUGUAGUC